rnacentral:rRNA from 1 species
UGGGGAAUCUUCCGCAAUGGACGAAAGUCUGACGGAGCAACGCCGCGUGAGUGAUGACGGUCUUCGGAUUGUAAAGCUCUGUUAAUCGGGACGAAUGGUUUGUGUGCAAAUAGUGCAUAGACAUGACGGUACCGGAAUAGAAAGCCACGGCUAACUACGUGCCAGCAGCCGCGGUAAUACGUAGGUGGCAAGCGUUGUCCGGAAUUAUUGGGCGUAAAGCGCGCGCAGGCGGACUAGCCAGUCAGUCUUAAAAGUUCGGGGCUUAACCCCGUGAUGGGAUUGAAACUACUAGUCUAGAGUAUCGGAGAGGAAAGUGGAAUUCCUAGUGUAGCGGUGAAAUGCGUAGAUAUUAGGAAGAACACCAGUGGCGAAGGCGACUUUCUGGACUGCAACUGACACUGAGGCACGAAAGCGUGGGUAGCAAACAGG